GCUCCCCUCGGGCUCCAGGAAGUCGCGAGCGCCCCAGGGGUCGCCCGAGGAGUGGGCUCGGGACGGCGGGCAGCGCAGCCUGCAGGGGGGCGCCAACGGCAGCGAUGAAGCCAUCUUGGCUGCAGUGUCGCAAAGUCACCGGCGCCGGGGGACUCGGGGGGUCCCUGCCCGCGUCCUCUCCCGCCCGGGGAGCCGGCCCGGCCCGCAGGGCGUACGUGGCCCCCGGCCAACGGGGCGCUCUCGGGGGCCGGGGCUGCCGGGCGCUGUCCUCGGGCGGCUGCGAGUACAAGACCCACUUCGCGGCCUCGGUGGCCGACCCCGAGAGGUUCUGGGGCAAAGCCGCGGAGCAGAUCAGCUGGUACAAGCCCUGGACCAAAACGCUGGAGAACAGACAUUCGCCUUCCACCAGUUGGUUUGUGGAAGGGAUGCUUAACAUUUGUUACAAUGCCAUCGAUCGUCAUAUUGAAAAUGGUAAAGGAGAUAAGAUUGCUAUCAUUUAUGACAGUCCUGUUACAAAUACUAAAGCCACUAUUACCUAUAAAGAAGUCCUGGAGCAGGUCUCUAAGCUGGCUGGUGUUUUGGUCAAGCAUGAUGUCAAGAAGGGUGACACCGUGGUUAUCUACAUGCCCAUGAUCCCCCAGGCGAUAUACACCAUGCUGGCGUGUGCUAGGAUAGGAGCCAUCCAUAGUCUCAUAUUUGGGGGAUUUGCAUCCAGAGAACUCAGCAGUCGCAUUGAUCAUGCAAAGCCCAAGGUCGUUGUUACAGCAUCGUUUGGCAUUGAACCUGGAAGGAAGGUAGAAUACAUACCACUUCUAGAAGAAGCUCUGAGAAUAGGACAACACAAGCCAGAUAAAGUUCUCAUUUAUAAUCGUCCAAAUAUGGAGCCGGUUCCUUUGGCGCCAGGUCGUGACCUUGAUUGGGAUGAAGAGAUGGCAAAAGCACAGUCACAUGACUGUGUUCCUGUUCUUUCCGAACAUCCGCUGUAUAUUCUUUACACAUCUGGAACAACGGGGUUGCCAAAGGGUGUGGUGAGGCCCACUGGAGGAUACGCUGUAAUGCUUAACUGGUCAAUGUCUUCUAUAUAUGGACUUAAACCUGGAGAGGUGUGGUGGGCAGCUUCUGACUUAGGCUGGGUUGUCGGACAUUCCUAUAUCUGUUAUGGACCUCUUCUACACGGAAACACAACAGUUUUAUAUGAGGGGAAGCCUGUCGGAACACCAGAUGCUGGCGCUUACUUCCGUGUGCUCGCGGAGCAUGGAGUAGCUGCCUUGUUUACAGCGCCAACUGCCAUUAGAGCAAUCCGUCAACAGGACCCUGGGGCAGCCUUGGGGAAGCAGUACUCUCUGACAAGGUUCAAAACAUUAUUUGUGGCUGGAGAACGAUGUGACGUGGAGACCCUGGAAUGGUCCAAAAAGGUCUUCAGAGUACCUGUCCUAGACCAUUGGUGGCAAACUGAGACUGGUUCCCCAAUUACAGCAUCAUGCAUUGGAUUAGGUAAUUCUAAAACACCUCCUCCAGGGCAAGCAGGAAAAAGUGUUCCAGGAUACAAUGUUAUGAUUUUGGAUGACAACAUGCAAAAACUGAAGGCUUGGUGUUUAGGAAACAUUGUGGUAAAGUUGCCAUUACCACCUGGAGCUUUUUCAGGACUCUGGAAGAAUCAGGAGGCAUUCAAGCAUUUAUACUUUGAAAAAUUUCCUGGAUACUAUGACACCAUGGAUGCUGGUUACAUGGAUGAAGAAGGUUAUAUAUAUGUUAUGUCUCGAGUUGAUGACGUGAUAAAUGUUGCAGGUCACAGGAUUUCUGCAGGUGCCAUUGAAGAGAUGAUGAUGUUUAUCGAAGAACUCUUUCCUAACCCAAGAACCUCCACUAUGAUACUGAGUAAGAGUGAUGAGAGCAGUUACCCUCGUCUUGUUCCUGAUCUUAGGUCUGUCCUUUCCCAUGGCACUGUGGCCGACUGCGCUGUUGUUGGCAAGGAAGACCCUUUGAAGGGUCAUGUCCCGUUAGCACUCUGCGUGCUGAAGAAAGAUAUAAAUACAACAGAGGAACAAGUCUUAGAAGAAAUUGUGAAACAUGUUAGACAGAGCAUUGGCCCCGUGGCUGCUUUUCGAAAAGCGGUGUUUGUGAAACAGUUACCCAAAACCAGAUCUGGCAAAAUUCCCCGCUCAGCUCUGUCUGCCCUUGUCAAUGGCAAGCCAUAUAAGGUAUCUCCUACAAUUGAAGACCCCAGCAUUUUUGGGCACAUAGAAGAAAUGCUGAAGCAGGCAUUAUGACUUUUUUUUUUUUGUCACUUUUCUAAUUGGAGUUAGAUUUUGGAAUUAUUUCCCAGAAAUAAAUAUUUAAAUAGAAAUUACAUGCAAACUGAAAUGGUCAGAGAAAGUACUGUUCCUCUCACAAGACUGAAUGUGGGGCAAGAAAGAUACAGUCAUCAGAUUGCUUAAAUUUUGGAAGAAAAAAAAAGGAAUUUUCUAUUUUAAUACUUACCAUAAGGUAC